ACCAGCAGGGAAGGAUCUCUUCUGGAGGUUCCCUUCUCUGGAGUUUCAUAGUGAGCCCAGGAUAUGGAUCACAUUUUACUGAAUCAGUGAAAAUGAAAAAGGAAGGUGAGAUACUGGAUGGAGCCUCUGGCUGCUGCGUUCCAAAAUACAGGGUGACAGGUAAUUUGGAAGGACUAACGGAUAGGAGUCAGGCCUGGCUGGAAGAUAUUCUGUAUGAACAAGAUUCUUUGAGGAAAACCAAUCAAGAACAGAAACUUCAUUAAAAUUACAGGCUUUUUUCAUCAGUCCCCUUCACAGCUGUCUUACUCAAAGGGUACGAGAAUGAUAGCUGACCUUCUGGAUAUAAAAAUGACAUUUAAAAAUAUGAAUAAAGUACAAAUUAAUCCAGUCAUAAAAGGAAAAUACAGUAUAUCAUUUCUUUGUCUUUGGUAUUACUGUUUUGCAGUGAUAACCUGUCCCAGUUGAAAUCACUAUUGAUUUUAACUCGUCUAAAUGUGCCAUUUCCUGACAUCAGAAAAAAAAACUGACUGAAGUGCUUAAAGUGUCUAUUGUGAGACUCUAUUUUUGGAAACUAUGCAAAUAGGUUUUCUAAAGCAUUCUAAUCCAAAGCUUACAUAUUCUGGGCUUUAUUUUUGUAAUUGCUGUAAGUAGCUUUCCCACACUGUAGUGACUUGGAUGUACAUUUGGGAAAUGGGAAGGACAGAUUUGAAUUUGUGCAGGCUGAGAACAAAAGCGUUGUGUUUUCUUAUGGUUUUGAACAGAUAGCCUAAUUGGUGAGUUGUUUUGAAAAAAGUCAGGUAUCAUCAAUGAGCUGAGUUUCUGGAAAAGUAAGCCCCAGUUGACUAAGAGCUUGAUUCAGAAAUGGAUUCCAAUUUACAGAGCCAACCUGUAUAGAGGUACUUAAUAUGCCACACUGACCCUGGUACAUUUGGUGUGGUUUUAGGCUCAUUGCUGUGAUCAUGGUAUUUUAUUUGUUGGAACUGGGCUCCACUCACUGAAGUGUUUUUAUGGGCCAGUCUACUGAGUUUCUUGUUUGUCUUUAAGGGAAUCUGGGUGCCUAUGCAUAACUCCCUGGGUCAUUAUCUUAGAAUCAAUCACCUAUGAUUUUGCUGCUGCCUAAAUUAGAAAUACUUUUCUUCCUUUCUUUUCAUCCUGAUACCUUUGGCUUUAAGGAAUUUAAUUUGGUCACUGUUUACUAUUACUUUCAUUGCUCCCGAAAGAUCUUUCAGGUACUGGUACUCUAGCAAAUGCUGGAAACAAGUGGAGUCAGCUAUGAAAACAGCCACCUCAAGGUAACUGCAUUGUGACCUAACAGACAGAAGAAGUAGGGAAAAUUUAGAGUGAUGAAAGGUGAUCUUACACAUCAGGUAAACAGUUUCUUGGAUAACC